CCGUUUGAUCUCUAACUUUAUUACCUAAAUAAUAAUACAGUAGUACUUUUCCUUCUUUUGAAUUCUUGGUUGUGAUUUCUAUUCCUAGACCAAUUGGAUCCUAUCAUAAUCUAACAUUUCCAAUUCAAACAAUUACACAAUUCACUAACUUAACCUCUAACCAUCACUAUCCUACACUAACUAACUAACAAUAUCAUAAUUCUUCACUAACAUUCCCAUAAUUCUAAUCACUAACUGCAUCUAACAAGCCUCCAAUUCAUUAUAACAAACUCUAAUAACCUCAUAACACUAACAGGUUCAUCUAACAUCAAUUUACUUUAACUGCAAUAAGUUGAAAUUACAUACAGCCAUCAACCUCUAAAAACUAACCCAAUUAACUAACAACACCAUUUUAACUUACAUUCUUAAGGUCAAUUCAAAUAUUCAAACAAAUUACAUUUACAAGCUCACUAACAUGACUUAAUAUGAUAAUUUUCCAUAGCUAGAACUCGAUUUCCAUUUUCUAACAACACAUUUCAACAUCUCAUAAUAGCAUCACUAACUAAUUUGAUUUUAUCCAACUCUGUAACUAAUCAACCUCAAUUCAUUUCUAACUCACUCCCUAAACUAACUCAUUCAAACCAAUGUAGCAUUGCCUAACUAAUUGUCACAACUCUAACAAUCACUCAUCCUUCCUAUUCUUCAUAAACAAUUCUUCACUAAUCUAUUUCACUAUCCAUUUGUAUAUUCAACAACAUACUAUCACAUCAAAUUCAUCUAACAACCCUCUAACUGCUACUAACUUUUUAUAACAUUUCCUAAUCCAUUUACUAACUAACAACAUCACUUUUAUUCACUAAUUCGAAUUCAACUAACUACACCUCACUAUCCAAAUUCCCUAACCUUACUCAUUAACCUUACUCAUGCUUAGAUUCCUCUAACAAUCCCCAAACUUAACGACUAACAAUAAUUAAUUCCUAACACUAAUUCACAACCUCCAUAACUAACUUAACUUGCUAUAACUGUCACACUUCACUUCUUUAACUAAAUUCCAAUGCUACAACUAACUUUAACAGAUUUUAAGGUGUUUACAUUCAUAACAAAUUUCCUUCACAAUUCAGUUAACUGUUAAUAUCUACCAUAACAUUCAACAACCUCUGCCCAAAUUUUCCCGAGUUUGUUAGCUUCAAAUCCUCUGUAUAACAAUCCAAUCUCCUUAUAUUAAAGGAAAGCUUCACGUUCCACACAGAAAAAAGUUCUCACUCAUCAUUCUCUGCAUCAAUCUACUCUCAACUCUCUCUCUCUCUCUCUCUGCAAUUUCAUUCAACUCUCCAUCAUCACUCUUUCUCUCUCAAGCACGCUCCAUAUCACACACAACAACAAUAACACAGAGCAACCAUAGUGAAUUCCUAUAGGCUAAGGAUACGAGUAGAAGGAGAAUUGAUUGAAGUGCUCAUCAAAGGAUUUGAAGGCUUAUCUGAUUAAAGAUGCUCUGGUUUUUUCUUCUGCGCAAUCUUCACCUUCAUCUUUAACGAAACCCGAGACAAAUCACAAUCUUGCAUGUCGGUUCUUG
rnacentral:lncRNA from 1 species